rnacentral:rRNA from 1 species
AUGGCCGACACUGACCGAUUGGCCAAGAAAAUAACUGACACAGAAAAGCUUGACGAAGCGGAUAUAAAAUAUGGCAAGAUGUUAAAAAAUCAAGUCAAAAUCUUUCGUAAAGCCACAAAUAGAACUACUCCCCAUCCUUCUCUUGCUGCAAAUCCAAGUAAGAAAAUUGACAAGAUUCUAUCUAUUGACAGCCACUGGAUAAUCAUGUCACCACAUAAUCGGUUCAGAAAGACUCAAGCAGUAGGUCUACUUGGCUCAAUCAUAUCAUCGUAUCACCUUCAUAAUGUCUAUUUUGACUACAGUCCCGUAUACAGUCUCCAUAUUCAGAAACGAUUCAUUCGUCUCACACUCAUAACUAGCAACCAGCUUGUAACGACACAAUUAUUACACAGAAAGCUACAUGAGUUGCACGUUGUCUAG